UUCAGUUUCUCUCGGCAGCCGCCCCGCUGGCCGCUUGGACCGUGGUCGCCAAGGGUACCAAAGUACCAGACCAAUGGAGAUCUUCAAAUUGAAGCUAGGAGAUAAACCAUAAAUGGAAAAGGAAAACCACGCUUGGAGCUUUCCAGAAGUUUGAGAAGUUGGUGAUCAUAUGCUGUGGCCUUUGGAAAUCCAAAACAAGCUUAAGAAUAUGGAAAGAGAUUAUGAACACAGUUCAUCUGGAAAUGUUUCAUCUGUACAGAAAUCUUACUACUUUAAGGCAAAGUCAUGAUAGUUUUACAUACUGAACUCUAAUUUAGAAUUAGUUAACCAGAAUAAAAGUUGUGCAGUGAAGAACACUGAUAAGCUUAACAGAUAAAUCAUUUCCUCAUAUUAAGCAUGAAAAA